GUUGGCUUCCUUGCCACGUGCAACUAAGCAACACUUCGGCUCAAAAGACUUGGUGAUGGUGGGGGAAUAUGGAGACACAUCGACAAGUGUUCUGCGGCCACAUCAUCCUAUGGACUACAACAUGCAUACAAAGAUGUCGCUUUAGACAGAAACUGUAUGUGUGUGUUUGUGAUCAGGAAUCAUUCUCUCAGAGAAAAUAAAAGACACAAGCUAUCAGAAACACCCAUGGUAAUGUCAAUGUGGGAGAGCUGCAUUUGCGUGAAACAAAAAAAAAUACGUGAUGAGCAAAGUCACCGACAGACACGAUACGGUUGUUAUAUUACAUGCCGGAACGUAAGUAUGGUGGCCCAAAAGGGACAACAAGACAAGCCACGCUACUCCACUGUCUUGAAGGGGAGCCAACACACACACACGGAAACUUGGAUGCAACACAAGUGGGCGUAUCCAUUCAAUUCCCCAAUCGAUCGGCCCUCCCGUGGGGUUGCGCCGUUGAGGUCGGAAGUGCUCAGAGGUGUUCGGUUAGACAUCAAUGUGUGAAUGAUGUGAUUGAAGGGAGAGUGAAAGACAAAAAACAUCCAGUUAUAGAAAACCUGAGAACUUAAUUGCAUUAAUUGUAUCCAUCACAAGACCUGAUUUCUACUAUAAAAUUAGACUAUCUGUACAGCGGCACUCUCUAUCUUUCUCUCUCUCUAACUACACAAAAAUGAGCCACCACCUUCUCAUAAGUGGUUAUGAAAAGGUGUCAUCCACUCUGUGGUCGUGAUCCAUUCUGAGACUUUUUUUGUUUUGUUUAUUUAUUUAUUUAUUUUUUUAAUUCAAAAAAAUAGAAUCAUUCUCCUCCAUAAGACACAAAUGGAGUGUGGCUGUUUUUGAGUCAUUUGGCCGAAUUUGGAUUUCUGUCUGUCAUUGUUUGGGUGCCUGACAGUCAAUAAAUCGGAAUCUAUUUCAGUAGUUCAGUUCAAAAAGUGACAUCCGUAUUACUGCACAGAUAAAGAAUGAAACUGAAUUCAUAAUCUUUAAUGCUGCAAUUUAUUUUAUUCUGAUACUCCUUCUGUGCCUGCUGUGGCCACCGGGAGGCAGUAUAAUACCGUCAUGUAAAUACUAAAGAAGAAGACUACUGUCUGGGGCUCAGUAAAACUCUAUAAAAUUAGACAUUUUUUUCUCGAAAGGACAACAGUUUUUGUUCAAACAUCUGUUACUUAAAACGCUCCAAAACCGCGACUACUAAUGCUAUCGUUAGCAUGUUAGCAACGUUGUGUGUUUGUUUUGACAGUAAACGUGACCAGUGCAAAAUUUUGUCCUAAAUUUAAUUGAGAAAAAUGUUGGCGCAGAUGUGCUUCAAUUUCAAGACGAAAAAAAUAGAUUGAUUUGUAUACAGUCUGUAAAAGGUGACAAAAAAAAAAUCCAAACAAAAUUUCACUGUGUUUAGUCACUGAGCUUCACGUUUGUAAUUGAACUGCUGAAAUAAAAUUCCACGCCGUAUCAUAUUAAAAAGCAAAAAAAAAAAAAAAAAAAAAAAAAAAAAGAAAUAACCACCAAAUUUUCAAUUGCGUUGUGGUGAAAUUCUCUUGUGUUGGUGUAAUACUGUUUUUUUGCCUCAUAUUAAAGAUAGAACAGUGGAAAAAUACAUAGUUACUUGUCUGUCUGUACAAAUCCCCCCGUAGACCGAAGAAAAUAAAGUGCCACAAUUUUAGGCCUGCAUAGUUUUUGCAGUAGUUGACAUAGUAUAUUGUAUAUAUCAUAUCAUACACAAUAUAUCUUGUACUUUCAGCACACCCGCUCUCUUUUUCGUCCGUGUUCAUGACAAGACAGACAAAAAAAUGUGAAAUAAAUUAAAAAUAAAGACAUCAACAAACAUGCAUUUUGUACAUACAGCCACGAGUCGCAAAAAUGUUUCAGCCAUAAAUUGGAAUUGAAAGGCAACCAGAGAUGCUCUCUGUCGGCGUAAAGAAAACAAGAACAGAAUAAAUUAAAUUUACACACACACACAAAAAGAAAAAAAUACAAACACAAUUAUUAGGAAGCUAUAAAUGUAACCCUCCUGUUAUGUUUGCUUCUCUGGGACAGAAGUAAUCUUCCUUUAUUCAUUUGACCCGUGACAUUUAAUUAUCCAGAAGUGUCCAAAAAAAGAAAAAAAAAAGGGGUGGGGGGAAUCCCAAUAAAGAUAAUUAAUAUUUCAUUAUUAAGCCAAGCAGAAGAAGCUUCCUUUCCCAAAAAAAAGCACUU